rnacentral:rRNA from 1 species
UACGAAGGGGGCGAGCGUUGUUCGGAAUCACUGGGCGUAAAGGGCGCGUAGGCGGCCCUCUUAGUCGCGUGUGAAAGCCCCGGGCUCAACCUGGGAACGGCGCGCGAAACGGGAGGGCUGGAGUUCGGGAGAGGAGAGUGGAAUUCCCAGUGUAGAGGUGAAAUUCGUAGAUAUUGGGAAGAACACCGGUGGCGAAAGCGCUCUGCUGGACUGCAACUGACACUGAGGGACGAAAGCUAGGGGAGCGAAUGGG